CGCGCUGGCGCGACGGGCCAUCAAAGACAAAGAACCCUGGUAAAGAACCCACCCAACCCAACCAAACCCCACACCGUCACCCAGAUAGGUGAAUCCGCCCAACUCGGCUGGCGCGGACGCGGAUUGGCGAGGCAGGCUCGGUCUUGGCAACCCCCAGACAUGCGACGGCCCCCGGCCGGGAGUGGCUUCCCGAUCGAGGGCCUGACCACCGAGGAAGAAAAGGCCUUCCUG
rnacentral:ncRNA from 1 species